AAACACGGAACUCGUGUUUAUUCGGCUCUGGGCGUCAGUGUUCUUGGUCCAGCCUGGUCCCGUGUGCUUCUAGGUCCAACCUAGUCGCAGCCCGGGGAGGGACUGGGGAAGACGGUUUCAGGGGCUGGAGUUAGGGGAGAAGAAAUGUGGGAUAGAAGCUCCAAUAUACAGAUAGGCAAACUGAAGCCGAGGAGGGGACGAGCCGUGCCCGAGGUCAUCCAGCGAGCUGGGCACUGCGCUAGCCCCCUCGCUGCAGCUGCAACUCCCACUGACCUCCUUGGAGGGCAAGUCCCCAGCCCUAAGCCCCAAGCCAUUCUAGGGGAGGAAGCAGGGCCACUCCCCCACGAGAAAUUCUAUCCUCCCAAACAUACACCCCCAACCCACUCAGUGUCCCCAACCCUCGCUGGGCACAGUUGGGCCUUG
rnacentral:antisense_RNA from 1 species